GGGCGUAACUCAGUGGUAGAGUGUUUGCUUCCCAAGCAAAAAGUCGUGGGUUCGAAUCCCAUCGCCC
rnacentral:tRNA from 1 species